UACAGAGGGUGCGAGCGUUAAUCGGAAUUACUGGGCGUAAAGGGCGCGUAGGCGGAGAUAUGAGUGUGAUGUGAAAGCCCUGGGCUUAACCUAGGAAGUGCAUCGCAAACGAUAUUUCUGGAGUACAAGAGAGGGUGGCGGAAUUUCCGGUGUAGCGGUGAAAUGCGUAGAGAUCGGAAGGAACGUCAAUGGCGAAGGCAGCCACCUGGCUUGAUACUGACGCUGAGGCGCGAAAGCGUGGGUAGCGAACAGG
rnacentral:rRNA from 1 species